GGCUGCUGGGGGGGGGGAAGCAAGACAGUGAGCCCACGUCCCCUGCACACCUUCUGCCGCUCCCCACAGGGCGGAAGGCUCACACCAACCUCAAGCGCAGCAAGUUCGUACAGGCCCCCAAACUCUGUCCCACAGGGCUGGGGUGUGAACCUUGUGCUCAGACCAUGUGGGCGACUCCUGGCAGCCAGAGGACACUGCGCAAGCGCCCAGGUCAGGCCUGUGCUCAUUGGCUCACAGCUGUCACUCUUCCCACCUUCUGGGAGCCUUGACCAAUGAGGUGAGUUGCCUUGUCACCACAUGACUACAGGAAGCAUGGGAGGCCAUUUCCCAGUUCUGAGGAUGAGCCAACUUAGAGUUCUAGUUAAAGGGCUCUUACAUGAGGGACAUUUCUCUACAUGUUCCAAGCACCUCUGAAGACAGAGGAUCCAGAUGCUACAUUCUCUGAUCAACAAUUCCCUCUCCUCCACUCAAGGUCCAAAUGCAGCACAGUUUGCGGGAGCUGAGUCUUGGAAACGGCCCAAGUGCCCAUCAACCAAAGAAUGGAUAAAGAAGAUGUGAUUUUUUUUCUGUACAACAGAGUACUACUCCGACAUAAAGAAGGAGGAAUUGAGGCAUUUUGAGCUGAUGGACACUUAGGUUGUUUCAAAGAUCUGGCUAUUACAAAUUGUGCUACUAUAAACAUGGGUAUCUUCCAGUUCCAGAUGAAUUUUCGAAGUGCUUUCUCUACAUCUAUGAGUUAUCUGAAAAAAAAAACUGACUCUAAAUUUUACUGUAGAAGCAAGCAGCUCGCCUCCCUGGUAAUCAGUGGUGGUGUGGCAGACUGCGGCACUUCCAGGGGGAGAACCACCAGUGUCUUUUGAGAUCCCUACCAUGUUGGAACUUAGGACCCCGGGAAACCAAACAAGCAGUUCACCUCCCUGGGAAGCGUGGUGACGUGGCAGCCUGCAGCACUUCCAGGGUGAAAACCACCAGUGUCUCCUGAGUUCUGCGCCAUGUUGGAAGUUAGGACCCUGGGAAACCAAACAGGCAGCUCGCCUCCCUCGUAAGUGGUGCAGAUGUGGCAGACUGUGGCUUUUCCAGAGGGAGAAGCACCAGUGUCUCCUGAAAUCCACGCCAUGUUGGAACUUAGGAUCCUGGGAAACUAAGCAAGCAGCUCGCCUCCCUGGUAAUCGGUGGUGGUGUGGCAGACUGCAGCCACCCCAGGGGAAGUACCACCAGUGUCUCCUGAGAGACGCACCAUGUUGGAACUUAGGAUUCUGGGAAACCAAGCAACCAGCCUGCCUCCCUGCUAAGCAAUAGUGAACCUACUGGUGCAUGGCCUAGGUCAAACAUCCUACUUUCCCUACCCCCCUUUCCAUGUUCCCCCAUUAGCAAAUGGGAACCAGAAAUCUGAGCAUCUCUUGGGAGCUUGACCAUAGCAAGGGAGAUCUCCUUCUACCAUCUCUUUGAAGGCAAAUAUUUUUAUUAAUGUUUUGCUUUAUUCUGAUUAAUGGUACCGCUCUAUUCAAUAUUCUGCUUUGAUAAGUUCUAUAAUGUUCUGUAUUUCAUUUUAUUUUGAUAUGUGUGAUUGAAAGAACUCUUGUAAAGACAACGAAAUAUAUUGUGAUAUCCAUUGCUGUUAUUCCAGUAACCUGCUGUGAAGUUCUGUACCAAUUUCACUACAUGGUCUCAGUUGGCUUUAUUCUAUCUUGUUCUGUUAUAUUUUACUACUUUCAAAAUAAAAAAUUUUAAUAAAGAAAUUAUAUGCAACAGAUUAAACAAAGGAGAGGAUAGAAUUUCAGGUCUUAAAGACAGAAUUGCAGGUAGUGAUCAUGAAAAGAAAGGUAUCUCAAAAAUAGCAACAGAUCAUGAGAAAUCAAUACAACAGCUACAAGAAAAGUCAAAGAAGAAUAGCACAAGAUUGACAGCAGUCAAUAAGAACUGGAGACAGCACAAAUGCCAUAACAAUCAUAAGUAUAUACGCACCUAAUACAGGAGCACCCAACUAUAUAAGACAGUUAUUAGUAGACAUAGAAAACCACCUGAGCAAUAACAAAGUUGUAAUGGGAGACCUCAAUACACCAUUGUCACAGAGAGAUAGAUCAGUUAAACAGAAAAUCAGUUAAACAGAAUAUCAGAGCUGAACCAAACCUGCAAACAAAUGGAGUUAAUAGGAAGAAGCCAUUUUCUGAGGCCACUCAGUAGUGAGAUCUAGGAAGCCUAGCACCAGCCAGGAGAAGAAGCCAUACCCUAAGGUCCUGCUUCCAUUGGUGAACCACCACCCCAUGUCUCUCUACUACUUCAGGAAACCCAAUUGGUGGAGCUCAGGUGCCUAGUAGUCUAGUACACUGUACCAUGGGUCUGGCAGCAAAUGCAGGAAACACCUGAAGUCUGAUUUGGAGGAACACAGGAAAUUGUCAAGAUGAGGAGCAAAAUAAAAUCUCAGACCUCCAACCCACACAGAACAAGUUCAGAAAACACAGACAUAGUAGGAAUUAGAAGCAUACACCUGAAAUUUCUGAAAAGGUAACAAUUUAGCUAAAGAAGCAACUUAAUUCUUGUAUUUUGUUUGGUUAAUUUUACAUACUGAUGUCUGAUGUUCUGGACAGCUAUUCUGAAGAUAACAAGAUUAAUUAUGGUAGCCAUUGUUAAUUUCCUAUUAGUUUUCAAGUCAUGUAUCAUUUUCAUUGCUUUCUUUUGUUUGAUUUUAUUAUGUCUGAUGGUAUGAGCAGCUAUUUGAGGAUAACAAGAUAUAAUAUGGUAGUCAUUGUUAAUUUCCUACUAUAUUGUUUUGAAGUCCUAAAAAAAUUUACUGCAUACAUUUUCACAUUAACAUAUCUCAUGAUGCUGUUUUACAUUUAUCUUUUGUUACUGUUAAAAAUGAUUAAAUAAAU